GUUGUGGUUCAAUGGUAGGAGGCUGGCCUAGCAUGUGUGAGGCACUGGGUUCAAUUCUCAGCAUGACA
rnacentral:tRNA from 1 species